UCUUGAUGUUUCUUCUUCAUGAAAAGAGUGUCGGGAGCCAUGCUGCCUGGGCCACCGUGUUGCUGGGUGCAGCAGGCGGCUGCCUUGCUCUGUGGGGUGGGAUGGUGCAGCCUGCUCAGCAAGGGAGCCAGUGAAAGCUCCAUGAGUGGAGGGACGCUUGAGCAGUUGCGCAGCAGACUGAAGGCUCUGCACAAGGACCUCAAGGGCCAGCUCAGCCUUAGCAAUAAAAACAGCAAAACCCUGACUGGUGAACAAUAUUGAGCCAACCAUGGAUACCCAGAAGAAAUCUCGGGUCCCUCAUGGCAUAGAAGGACAUGUUGACUCAGUUCUUAGCAAUGAGAUGAAGUGAAAAUUUUCCUGCUAGGCUACCAGAAAAAAACUUUGUUUUCUGAUAAAAAGGGACAUAUUUAUCUGGUGUACACCUUCUCCCCUUCCAUCCUGCCUGGAAUGUGGCUGAGAGGUCUGGAGCAGCAGCAGCUACCUUGUGCAUGUGGAACAGCUGAUGUAACAGGAUACAGAAAGACAGCAAAAAUACAAGAGAACAAACUAUUCCCUUUGGCAUCAUAUGUUGUUUGUACCAGUCCUUGAUUGUCUAACUUCGAACUUCCCACUAAAAGAAAAAAUAAAUGCUUUUAUGUUAAGUUA